AAAAAAAAAAAAAAAAAAGCCGUCAGGAUGGCCGAGCGGUCCAAGGCGCUGCGUUCAGGUCGCAGUCCGGUCUUCCGGGCGUGGGUUCGAAUCCCACUUCUGACAAGGGUUCCUUUUUUGCAGUGCCAACCCACGUAAAAAGAAAAAAAUAGGUAGCGCUGCAUCUCUCUCGUUUUCCUCUUUUGUGAAUACCCAAGGCUAAAGUACGGUUCACUCUGUGCCACUUUCCUCUUUGAUCGUGUCCCGUCAGGAUGGCCGAGCGGUCCAAGGCGCUGCGUUCAGGUCGCAGUCCGGUCUUCCGGGCGUGGGUUCGAAUCCCACUUCUGACAAGGGUU
rnacentral:tRNA from 1 species